rnacentral:tRNA from 4 species
GGCCUGGUGGCAGAGUGGUUAUGCACCGGACUGCAAAUCCGUUGAGAUGGGUUCGAUUCCCGUCCAGGCCUCCA